UUUGGACAAGUGCUGGAAUUUAUUCUAGAGGAAAGUCCAUGCUCACACAAUUCUGUGAUGAUUGUAGUGUUCGUGCUUAGGGAAAAAAUAACCUAAGGUAGUUUUUCAUGAAAAGCUAACGGCUAAAAAUACAUCUAAGGGAGUUUCCUAUGAUGUAUUUUUCUAACGUGCCACAGUGACGAUGUUCUUGGAAACAGGAAAGUGAAACGCGGUAAACCCCACGAGUGAGAAACCCAAAUUAUGGUAGGGGAGCUUUCUUUUGGAGAAACAGAAUCCAAAGAGGGACUAUCGAAAGAUGGUAGAUAAAUACUUGUCACCUACAUUAGUAGGAACAGAACAUGGCUUAUAA
rnacentral:RNase_P_RNA from 1 species